rnacentral:rRNA from 1 species
GACGAACGCUGGCGGCGUGCUUAACACAUGCAAGUCGAACGGAAAGGCCCUGCUUUUGUGGGGUGCUCUAGUGGCGAACGGGUGAGUAACACGUGAGUAACCUGCCCUUGACUUUGGGAUAACUUCAGGAAACUGGGGCUAAUACCGGAUAGGAGCUCCUGCUGCAUGGUGGGGGUUGGAAAGUUUCGGCGGUUGGGGAUGGACUCGCGUCUUAUCAGCUUGUUGGUGGGGUAGUGGCUUACCAAGGCUUUGACGGGUAGCCGGCCUGAGAGGGUGACCGGCCAAAUUGGGACUGAGAUACGGCCCAGACUACUACGGGAGGCAGCAGUGGGGAAUAUUGCACAAUGGGCGGAAGCAUGAUGCAGCAACGCCGCGUGCGGGAUGACGGCCUUCGGGUUGUAAACCGCUUUCGCCUGUGACGAAGCGUGAGUGACGGUAAUGGGUAAAGAAGCACCGGCUAACUACGUG